CUCGCGUAGCCCAAUUCGGCAAGAGGCGUUGGUUUCAAAAACCAAAGGUUGUCGGUUCAAAUCCGACCGCGAGCA
rnacentral:tRNA from 1 species